UCUGCUUCUGUCCAUGAAGCUGCUCGCUGUGCUGUCAAUUCUCCAUGCAGAAACAGCAGGAAGGAGAGAUCAAUUCAUACAGUUUUAGGUACAGCAGCGAUUUGUGGGAUGACAAAUUUUAGACUUAUUCAUUUAACAGAAGAUAAUCCAGCCUAGAAGAACUACGAGAAAAAGCAAUGGCCCAAAACGUAAAGAAAGCCCCAGCAUCCAUUCUGUAGGCGCGUAAUGGAGUGAACAAGCAGCUUUUCAUCAUGGUUGAAACAAAGAAAUCAAAGCCCAGAAUUUCAUCAAGGAUAAAAAUACAAUGACCUUAAGACUGCUGCAGACAAGUCUACCUUUGGAGGAGGAGGGAAGCUUCUGACUAAGGCAGGCUGGACCAGCCUGGGUUCAUUUUAAGCCAAAGAACUGUGAGGCCUAAAUAACUCCAUUUUAAAAUUUGACUCCAUCUUAGAAUAAGGCAGUAAAGUGGACUAGACAUAAAUUCCACUUCACUGAAGUCAACUAUUCCCCUAGUUUCCUUUGUGCCCAUAAAGUAAUGAUAUACAGUUCCUGACUCAAUCCUCUGUUUGUCCGGGGCCCAUUAUCUAUAGAACAUUCCGUCAAUGUG